UGUGGCGAGGAACAACCGUGCAACGCUGGUUGUGGGGACCCCAUGGGUUUCAGGAGGUGCAAGUCUUGGGUGAAGCUAGGCAUAGCCUUCAAGCGACAGCCCGUUUUGGUCAUUGCAUUCGUAUCUUAAUCCUACUUGAAUGGGGAAGAUGGAGGAACCGUGCCCUUUUAUUUGGGUGGCAGGAAUUAUGUUCAUCUAACAGGACUGAUACUAUACCAGCGAUAUGUAGCUUCCACGGCAAAGAAAGACCAAGAAACCAUGUUUGCUUGAAGUAGAUAUGGCUUGAGCAGUUGGGAGAGCUGGAGUUCCCUUCCUGUAGUAGUUGUGCAUGAGGUAGAUUCAGUCUUCUAUGAACCAAAAUGCUCUCUUUUGUUUCCUUAUACCUCUCGCGAGCAAUCAAAUAUGAUGCAGGUUCCCACCUCUUUCUCAACAAUGAAAUUGUAGAUGAGACCUGUUCAUCUAGAUGCAACGCUAACUCUAGAUGAGACCUUUUUAUCAGUGGAAAGUGCGGCCUGUUAUGAAAGCAUCCAAAACAUGACCUUCCAGGUUCCAGCUACUGAGAGUACCUAUUAGUAGAUAUUAUCCAUUAGUUUUUGUUUUUUUUUUUUUUGGAGAUGAUAAGGGAGGCUGCAAGGCGCAGCCACCCUGCUUUUAUCAAUUUGAAGAGAAGAACCAAGUUACAAAGAAGACAAAAGAGUUUCAGGAGCUUUGUCCAGUCAAAAAAAGAAAACCAAACGGACCAACAAAAAGCUCUAUGGGACAGCAGAUACACAAGCAUGAGAGACAGAACAGAUAGUUACAGUGAGAUAGAGCAACCAAGGCAGACAAAAUACAAACGAGAACAAACCAGCAAAAAGGCCACAGCGAUUGAUCAGAACUGCGAUCGACGUCGAAACAGAGGCUGUUUGAUGAUUUGAGUCAGAUAUUUCCUCAAUUUCCCUCUUUGAGGUCCAAGUGAGAUUUUCUGUGGGUCGCCAGAAGCAUAUCAGCUGAUAGAGGAGGGCACAAGCAGCGAAUCUAGUAAAUACAAGCAGCGAAUAUCGAAGUCAAGCUCCAUUUAGCAACCUGGGCAAUCUUUUUUAAUCUUGAACCAAAGCUUUCCAUGCGCCACCACUAACGCCUUGAUAUUACAGACAUUCUACCAAAGAUUGAACAAUUGAAUACAUGGAGGAAUGCUUGUUCAAGAACAAUCUAGCGUUCCUUUCUUUCCAAGAGACCCAUCUCAUGGCCGCGAUCAACAUAUAUAGUACAAUCACCUGAUGACCUGAUGUUGAGAAGUUCUUCAUUCUCUAUGCCAAGCACAAACCUUUGCAAGUCUCACGGGAUUGCAAAACUUCCAAGAGUUCGUAAACGGUCCUCCCAAUGGUGCAAAAGAAGCGACAAUCCAAUAAAAAGGUGAUCGACGGACUCCACAAAGUUUUGGAAAUGCGUUUUAUUUUCUUUAGAAGAUGAGAGAGAGAGAGAGGCAAUGAACUGGGAUGGGAUCUACAGGGGCUAUUGACGCGUUCCCAGCCCACCUUGGCAGACGACAGAGUGAAACCGGUUACGUUAUACUACGGCACAAGAGUUCCAGUUCAUGGAAAGCCAUUAGGUUCGCUAAGGGUUCUGCUGACCACCUUUUUUGUUCAAAAAGGCUGGACGGGCGUUUAAAGACUCCAAGUAGGCGAGUACCUCCAUUCAUGCAGGGCUUAUCAUAUGAUGUCACUGUUCCUAUGAUAAGCAAGUUAAUAACCCAAGGAGAAUAAGUUAACAAGGAGAUGUGAAGUCAGGAGGAAUACAUACUUAUAUAACUCUGUUACCUGUAGUGACAAAAGUGGGUCUUGAGUUAUCAUACAAAAGCCUAGUCUACUUGCUUACAUGCAAAGCAUGUGCCAGAGUGCGUGCAAACUCCCCGUAACUAUGAAUUCUUUGACAUAUACAAACAACGAAGUUAGAAACCUCUUGAGGGCAGACAGACUGAGAACUAACAUGAAACAGAAUCUGUUUCCUUACACAAAUAC